AGGGCGGAGGUGUUACCGGAAACAUGUUAGACUGUCACUCUAAAGAUUGUGGGUUCGAAUCCCGCUCGCCCUG
rnacentral:tRNA from 1 species